rnacentral:snRNA from 1 species
AUAUAUGCCUUGUACUGUAGAACAUCCGGAAAAGGCGGUGUCCCCAGGGAGAGGCGCGGGCAUUGCACUGCGCUCGUGCUGACCCCUGCCACUACCCCAAACUGGGGCAGAUGGGGCAUGCAAUUUUUGGUAGUGGGGGACUGCGUUCGCGCUAUCCCCCU